rnacentral:rRNA from 1 species
GAUCCUGGCUCAGGAUGAACGCUAGCUACAGGCUUAACACAUGCAAGUCGAGGGGCAGCAUGACGAUAGCUUGCUAUUGUCGAUGGCGACCGGCGCACGGGUGAGUAACGCGUAUCCAACCUUCCCCUUAGUAGGGCAUAGCCCGGUGAAAAUCGGAUUAAUACCCUAUGUUAUUCGUCGAGGACAUCUGAAGUGAAUCAAAGAUUUAUCGCUAAGGGAUGGGGAUGCGUCUGAUUAGGUAGUCGGCGGGGUAACGGCCCACCGAGCCAUCGAUCAGUAGGGGUUCUGAGAGGAAGGUCCCCCACACUGGUACUGAGACACGGACCAGACUCCUACGGGAGGCAGCAGUGAGGAAUACUGGUCAAUGGGCGCGAGCCUGAACCAGCCAAGUAAGCGUGCAGGAUGACGGCCCUAUGGGUUGUAAACUGCUUUUAUACGGGGAUAAAGUGAGGGACGUGUCCCUUUUUGUAGGUACCGUAUGAAUAAGGACCGGCUAAUUCCGUGCCAGCAGCCGC